rnacentral:rRNA from 1 species
UACGUAGGGGGCAAGCGUUGUCCGGAAUCAUUGGGCGUAAAGAGCGUGUAGGCGGCCCGGUAAGUCCGCUGUGAACGUCCAGGCUCAACCCUGGGAUGCCGGUGGAUACUGUCGGGCUCGAGUCCGGAAGAGGAGUGUGGAAUUCCUGGUGUAGCGGUGAAAUGCGCAGAUAUCAGGAGGAACACCAAUGGCGAAGGCAGCACUCUGGGACGUGACUGACGCUGAGACGCGAAAGCGUGGGAGCAAACAGG